GACGAACGCUGGCGGCGGGCUUAACACAUGCAAGUCGAACGCCCCCGACUCGUCGGGGGAGUGGCGCACGGGUGCGUAACACGUAGGUAACCUGCCCUCGAGUGGGGAAUAACCACCGGAAACGGUGGCUAAUACCGCAUAAGGUCUCUUCUUCGCCUGGAGAGGGGAUUAAAGCCUUCGGGCGCUUGGGGAUGGGCCUGCGGCGGAUUAGGUAGUAGGUAGGGUAACGGCCUACCUAGCCGAUGAUCCGUAGCUGGUCUGAGAGGAUGAUCAGCCACACUGGCACUGAGACACGGGCCAGACUCCUACGGGAGGCAGCAGUGAGGAAUCUUGCGCAAUGGAGGAAACUCUGACGCAGCCACGCCGCGUGCAGGAAGACACCCUUAUGGGGCGUAAACUGCUUUUCUGUGAGAAGAACGUUUCGGCAUGCCGGGAUUUGACGGUAUCACAGGAAUAAGCACCGGCUAACUCCGUGCCAGCAGCCGCGGUAAUACGGAGGGU
rnacentral:rRNA from 1 species